CCAACUUGGAUAUCCCGGGUGCUCACGCUCUCUGGGCUCUGACCCAGUGGCAUAGGCGAGCACAGGGCUGUGCCCUGUGAUGUACAAUCCCUUGCCACAACAUUUGAGAAGAGCCUGGGCCUCGUGUCUGCACCUGCAUACUCCUACAGCUUCUCAGAGUUCUUUGGGCAAUGACUGAGGAGAUAAACCAUGCAGGAAACAGUG
ensembl:snoRNA SNORA73 Small nucleolar RNA SNORA73 family